CUACGUUCAGUCAGCACUCGUGUUGACCGCAGUUCGACUCAGGCCAUGGAACGGGGACCUGAN
ncrna:unclassified sequences Glutamine-II riboswitch (downstream peptide RNA)